CUCACGGUGGGCUGGAACCUGAUCCGCUGGCGCCAGAUCGAGGCGGCCAAGCACCGGAUGUUCUACUCGCUCCUGCGGCUC
rnacentral:tRNA from 1 species